UUGGGAGCUCUCCCAUAUGGUCGACCUGCAGGCGGCCGCGAAUUCACUAGUGAUUCGUAUUACCGCGGCUGCUGGCACGGAGUUAGCCGGGGCUUUCUUGGUCAGGUACCGUCAUUAUCUUCCCUGCUGAAAAGGGCUUUACAACCCUAAGGCCUUCAUCACCCACUCGGUAUUGCUGGAUCAGGCUUUCGCCCAUUGUCCAAUAUUCCCCACUGCUGCCUCCCGUAGGAGUCUGGGCCGUGUCUCAGUCCCAGUGUGGCUGAUCAUUCUCUCAAACCAGCUACAGAUCAUUGGCUUGGUAGGCCAUUACCCUACCAACUACCUAAUCUGGCGCGGGCUCAUCCAUCAGCGAUAAAUCUUUCCUCCAAAGAGAAUAUACGGUAUUAGCAAUUAUUUCUAAAUGUUAUUCCGUACUGAUGGGCAGAUUCCCACGUGUUACUCACCCGUCUGCCACUAAUUUAUUUAAAGCAAGCUCUAAAUAAAUCCGUUCGACUUGCAUGUGUUAAGCAUACCGAAAGCGUUCGUUCUGAGCCAUGAUCAAACUCUAAUCGAAUUCCCGCGGCCGCCAUGGCGCCCGGGAGCAUGCGAC
rnacentral:rRNA from 1 species